UGGAUUUUUUUUCCCCUGCGCCGCUCAUCUGCUGUUCUUAUCCCAUGCCGCCGUUCGCUGGCCGCGUGUACUCUGGGGUCGUCGUGCUGGCCGCCUCCCUCGUCUUCUCCUCAGGCCCGCCCGCGCUCUCCCUGCCUUCUGCACGCGCGCAGCUCGCCCCAGAUCCUCCCAGCCAUGACGCGCGCUUCCCUGUGCCCCGCGUUCCUUCUCUGCACUGCUUCCUCUGCUCCAUCUUCAAGCACGCCGCGCUCCAAAUCGCCUGCUGUUCCUCUUCCCCAGCCAUGGCCGCGCCUGGCUCGCCGGCGUUCAGGCCGCGGCUUCCUCCUCCAACUCCGGUCGGCCAAGAGCCUAGCUGCCCCCUUGCUUCUCUCCCUCCAUUUCCCAGAAGCGCCCUGUCCCUGUCGAAGCCCUUGUAUGGCGCGCGUGGAUUUCUCCUCCUCCAUCCCCAGCUAGCCUGCGAGCUCCUCCCUCCUCCCUGCAUCCAUGGAUCUCGGCGCCCAUCUCCAUGGCUCGCCCUGCGUCCAGCCGCCGCGCCCGGUUCCGAGUCCCUUUCCUGGCCGAGUUCCCUGCUCCAUCUCUGCCCUCUGCCGGCGCUCCAGCUCCUCCAUCCAUGGCCAUGCCCUGCUGCUCGUCGGUGCUCGCCGCGGGAGACGGCGCUUGGUCGCCCAACCUUCCUGCUCCUCCCUGCUGUCGUGUCCCUGGCUCCUGCUCCACUCGUUGCGUGCGCCUGCGCUGCCCAGAUGGCCGUCUGUCCUUCCGUGUCACGCCUAGCUCCAGCUCGGUCUCUGCUCGAUGCCCAGCGUCGCGCAGCACGGCUCGGCCCGACGGCAUAGAGUGUCUCGUCAUCGCCGGACUUGUCUCGCCGACCAUCGUGGCGUUGUUAUUUCCUGCUACGCCGUGAAAUCGUCGAGCUCCGGUGUUUAGUGUCGAGGUCGCUGUGUCGUUGUCGCUCUGACUUCCGUGUCCUCGCGCGGUAUGCGGCGGUCGUGUUCACAUCCGCGACAUCAGCAUCCCCAUCGCCGUUGAACUCCCAGACAUGUUCCUCUCUGUUCGCUUGUCCUCAGUUCCGGCCUGGUCUCGCGCGCGUGAUUUUGAAACUCUGCACGUUCGUCGUGUCGCGAUGUGUGCCGAUAUUCUCUACCGGCAGACCUCGCCGUCAACCAUGUUCAAGUAAUUGCUGGCCCCUCAGACCCGGCCAUUGUUUGCCGCGGAACCACUGUCGGAUUAAUUUUUAGCUUCCCUCGCGCGGCUCUUUGGAGAUAAUCUCCUCACCGGCUGUCGCUCCCAAUCUUCAGCUCAUCGACUCACCGUCGUGUUUCUUGUUCUCCCUCGUCGGUCGGCCUCGUCGUGGCUAAGUAUGUCCGCCGUGCUAUGUGCUUCGGUCUUUGGUCGCUGCCUCUUGCUCACCAUCCCCUAUUCGAUCUCGUCGUCAAGCUUCGCCUCAGCCUUAGCUCGUCGUUCACGCUCGUCUGAUAUGCGACUGAGGACUUCAGCUGAAGGCCGUCGUCAGGCAACUACCAAGUCGAGUUGUGAUGUGGUGCGAUAAUUAAUCACGUGAUGUGGAAGAUGACUCAAGUCGAUCCAAAGUGCGGGCUACUCCGCAUGGAGAUGCUGAUGAACGAACCUGCCUGAUCAAGUGUUAGGACAAGGAUGAUCGUCAAGUGAUCGACGUCUAACAAACACUAACUUAGUGUUUCUUUCAGGCAAACCCCGGUGCAUUUGCCCCUUCCUUGUGUUUUAAAUGCUUUUUCACCUUAUCUGAUGCAUUAGGUGAUAGGAGUUGUGUGAUAAACAAUUGAUGCAUUACCAUUCCUUGAAAACUCCUUAAUCCCAGUUUUAUAAAAAGAACUGAUAAUGCUUAGCCCUGCUUAGAAACUGAAAAAUCAUUUGUUUUCAAAAAGAAUGAUUGUGGAACAUUGGUUAUGGGCCUUUCGUUUCAAAAAUCAAAGCAAACUUAUGAUGAUGAUUCCACUUCGGCCGGAGUGAGUUCAUCAUUUGGAAAAGAGUACCCCUGUCGGGUACCAAAAAUGGGGAAAAUGGUUUGAAUACAUCUACACCAGACGCUGAGCGGACGUGGUCGCCCGUCUGUGUCGAUUAAGGACCGUUCGAUGUAGGCCUGUUGUGGUGGAGACCUUGCAACUAGCCACAUGCUUCGGUAAGCCUGAACCCGGCUAUUCCAUACG
rnacentral:misc_RNA from 1 species